rnacentral:piRNA from 1 species
UGAGUCCUGAGUGGAGAAUGGUUCGU